AUGCAGUCGCACGGACCCUUCGGGGUGAGUGGCGGACGGGUGAGUAUCGCGUAGGGAUCUAUCCAUGGGUGGGGGAUAACAUCGGGAAACUGGUGCUAAUACCGCAUGAUACCUGAGGGUCAAAGGCGCAAGUCGCCUGUGGAGGAGCCUGCGUUCGAUUAGCUUGUUGGUGGGGUAAAGGCCUACCAAGGCGAUGAUCGAUAGCUGGUCUGAGAGGAUGAUCAGCCACACUGGGACUGAGACACGGCCCAGACUCCUACGGGAGGCAGCGGUGGGGAAUAUUGGACAAUGGGCGAAAGCCUGAUCCAGCAAUGCCGCGUGUGUGAAGAAGGUCUUCGGAUUGUAAAGCACUUUCGACGGGGACGAUGAUGACGGUACCCGUAGAAGAAGCCCCGGCUAACUUCGUGCCAGCAGCCGCGGUAAUACGAAGGGGGCUAGCGUUGCUCGGAAUGACUGGGCGUAAAGGGCGCGUAGGCGGUUUACACAGUCAGAUGUGAAAUUCCAGGGCUUAACCUUGGGGCUGCAUUUGAUACGUGUAGACUAGAGUGUGAGAGAGGGUUGUGGAA
rnacentral:rRNA from 1 species